UAAGUUUUUAUAGUUGAAUACAACGGUGGCAUUUCAAGCCAUUAGUCUAGGUUAAAAUCCUGGUAAAAAU
rnacentral:tRNA from 1 species